rnacentral:tRNA from 1 species
GCCCCCGUAGCUCAACAGGCUAGAGCGGCGGCCUUUUAAGCCGAGGGUUGUGAGUUCGAGUCUCACCGGGGGCA